rnacentral:rRNA from 1 species
CCUACGGGGGGCUGCAGUGGGGAAUAUUGGACAAUGGGGGCAACCCUGAUCCAGCCAUGCCGCGUGUGUGAAGAAGGCCCUCGGGUUGUAAAGCACUUUCAGUGAGGAAGAACGCCUGGUGGUUAAUACCCAUCAGGAAAGACAUCACUCACAGAAGAAGCACCGGCUAACUCCGUGCCAGCAGCCGCGGUAAUACGGAGGGUGCUAGCGUUAAUCGGAAUUACUGGGCGUAAAGCGCGCGUAGGUGGCUUGAUAAGCCGGUUGUGAAAGCCCCGGGCUCAACCUGGGAACGGCAUCCGGAACUGUCAAGCUAGAGUGCAGGAGAGGAAGGUAGAAUUCCCGGUGUAGCGGUGAAAUGCGUAGAGAUCGGGAGGAAUACCAGUGGCGAAGGCGGCCUUCUGGACUGACACUGACACUGAGGUGCGAAAGCGUGGGUAGCAAACAGGAUUAGAUACCCGAGUAGUC